GAGGACCUUCGGGGACAGGUGAAAUUCCGUACCGGCGGUAAGGUUGUUUGCCGAGCCCGCGAGCCCUUUUGGGUUGAUCCGGUGAAAAGCCGGGGCCGACAGUAAAAGUCUGGAUGGGAGAAGGGAAAG
rnacentral:ncRNA from 2 species